GUGGGGAAUUUUGCGCAAUGGGGGAAACCCUGACGCAGCAACGCCGCGUGCGGGACGACGGCCUUCGGGUUGUAAACCGCUUUCAGCAGGGAAGAAAUUCGACGGUACCUGCAGAAGAAGCUCCGGCUAACUACGUGCCAGCAGCCGCGGUAAUACGUAGGGAGCGAGCGUUAUCCGGAUUCAUUGGGCGUAAAGAGCGCGUAGGCGGCCUCUCAAGCGGGAUCUCUAAUCCGAGGGCUCAACCCCCGGCCGGAUCCCGAACUGGGAGGCUCGAGUUCGGUAGAGGCAGGCGGAAUUCCCGGUGUAGCGGUGGAAUGCGCAGAUAUCGGGAAGAACACCGAUGGCGAAGGCAGCCUGCUGGGCCGCAACUGACGCUGAGGCGCGAAAGCUAGGGGAGCGAACAGGAUUAGAUACCCCAGUAGUCC
rnacentral:rRNA from 1 species